rnacentral:misc_RNA from 1 species
CUUGAUCAUCCACCGCAAGACAAUGCCACCCACCGAUAGCCGCCUGAACAAUCUUGACAUCAGCUAGCGCCUUUACGAGACCCGGCACGCUCUCCGUCUUCGUCUCCGGGGGGUGCCCCAGCGUCCCCCUUUGGUUCCACCCCCAUGUAAAAAGGUGGCCGUUGUCGCAGAUGGCGAGGGAGUUUCGGCUGCCGGCGACGACAGCGGUGACGGGAUCGCCGUCGAGGGAGUUGAUGGCGCAGGCGCGGUCUUCAUCUUCCCAGUCGCCCAUCCCCAGCUGCCCGUCCUCGCCUGAGCCCCAUGCGAGUAUGACGG